CCAUAUUUCGGUUCCACGUUUCAGGUUGGAGUCUCAACUUCCACAAGAUAAGGGGAGCUUGCACUAGAAGGAGAUCAUUAUUUGACAACAGGGGAGCUUGUGAGUCUCAGUGAGCAGCAGCUUGUGGACUGUGAUCAUGAGUGUGAUCCAGAAGAAUACGGUUCAUGUGACUCAGGCUAUACUGGUGGACUAAGUCAAGGCUGGUGGUUUGGAGCAAGAGAAGGACUACCCUUAAAAACAGUGGUGUGAUCGCAGUACCUGCAAAUUUGACAAGAGUAAAGAUGUUGCUACUGUUUCCAACUUCAGCAUUCUUUCCCUUGACGAAGAUCAAAUUGCUGCAAAUUUGGUCCACAAUGUACUUUUGCCAUUGAAAUAUAGGUUUGGAUCGUUUCCUUCAAGUCUGAGAAUAAGGAACUACCAAGAGAGUUGUGUACUAUAGACCAUGUUUGCUGCAAUAUAAGUUUCUUUUGUUCCAAAA